rnacentral:rRNA from 1 species
CAGCCGCCGCGGGAACACGGAGGAUCCAAGCGUUAUCCGGAAUCAUUGGGUUUAAAGGGUCCGUAGGCGGUCUUGUAAGUCAGUGGUGAAAGCCCAUCGCUCAACGGUGGAACGGCCAUUGAUACUGCAGGACUUGAAUUAUUGGGAAGUAACUAGAAUAUGUAGUGUAGCGGUGAAAUGCUUAGAGAUUACAUGGAAUACCAAUUGCGAAGGCAGGUUACUACCAAUUGAUUGACGCUGAUGGACGAAAGCGUGGGUAGCGAACAGGAUUAGAUACCCGGGUAGUCCCUGUCUCUUAUAC